CAGCCGCCGCGGGAAUACGUAGGGGGCGAGCGUUGUCCGAAGUUACUGGGCGUAAAGAGCGCGUAGGCUGGUCUUUAAGUGAGUGGUGAAAGGUUCGGGCUCAACCCGGACACUGCCUUUCAUACUGGGGACCUUGAGUGUGGGAGAGGCGAGUGGAAUGGUCGGUGUAGCGGUGAAAUGCGUAGAUAUCGAUCGGAAUACCUAUGGCGAAGGCAGCUCGCUGGCCUAACACUGACGCUGAGGCGCGAAAGCGUGGGGAGCAAACAGGAUUAGAUACCCGCGUAGUCCCUGUCUCUUAUAC
rnacentral:rRNA from 1 species